UUUUGAAUAAUUUAAAUAUCAGAAUAAUAAAUUGUAAAUUUAUGUGUGGAAAAUUUUGAGUUUCUUCAAAAA
rnacentral:tRNA from 1 species